rnacentral:rRNA from 1 species
GUUGAGNUUUACGGGUACGGGGAUUAGGGUUCGAUUCCGGAGAGGGAGCCUGAGAAACGGCUACCACAUCCAAGGAAGGCAGCAGGCGCGCAAAUUACCCAAUCCCAACACGGGGAGGUAGUGACAAUAAAUAACAAUAUGGGGCCUUUACGGGUCUCGUAAUUGGAAUGAGUACAAUUUAAAUCUCUUAACGAGGAACAAUUGGAGGGCAAGUCUGGUGCCAGCAGCCGCGGUAAUUCCAGCUCCAAUAGCGUAUAUUAAAGUUGUUGCAGUUAAAAAGCUCGUAGUUGAAUUUCGGGAUCUAUCCGUCGGUCGGGCCUCACGGUCCGCACUGGUGUGAUGGAUUCCUACCUUCUGAAUAACCGGUAUGCCAUUAAUUUGAUGUGCCGGGGAAGCAGAACCAUUACCUUGAAAAAAUUAGAGUGCUCAAAGCAGGCCUAUGCCUGAAUACAUUAGCAUGGAAUAAUAAAAUAGGACGGCAUGGUUCUAUUUUGUUGGUUUCUAGGAUCACCGUAAUGAUUAAUAGGGAUAGUUGGGGGCAUUAGUAUUCAAUUGUCAGAGGUGAAAUUCUUGGAUUUAUUGAAGACUAACUUCUGCGAAAGCAUUUGCCAAGGAUGUUUUCAUUAAUCAAGAACGAAAGUUAGGGGAUCGAAGACGAUCAGAUACCGUCGUAGUCUUAACCAUAAACUAUGCCGACUAGGGAUCGGACGAUGUUUAAUUUUAUAAUGACUCGUUCGGCGCCUUACGGGAAACCAAAGUGUUUGGUUUCANUUCGU